UGGGGAAUAUUGCACAAUGGGGGAAACCCUGAUGCAGCGACGCCGCGUGAGCGAAGAAGGCCUUCGGGUCGUAAAGCUCUUUUAUAUGGGAAGAUAAUGACGGUACCAUAAGAAAAAGCCCCGGCUAACUACGUGCCAGCAGCCGCGGUAAUACGUAGGGGGCAAGCGUUAUCCGGAUUCAUUGGGCGUAAAGCGCGCGUAGGCGGUUUGUUAGGUCAGGAGUUAAAUCUGGGGGCUCAACCCCUAUCCGCUCCUGAUACCGGCAGGCUUGAGUCUGGUAGGGGAAGGCGGAAUUCCAAGUGUAGCGGUGAAAUGCGCAGAUAUUUGGAAGAACACCGGUGGCGAAGGCGGCCUUCUGGGCCACGACUGACGCUGAGGCGCGAAAGCUAGGGGAGCGAACAGG
rnacentral:rRNA from 1 species